CCUACGGGGGGCUGCAGUGGGGAAUAUUGGACAAUGGGGGGAACCCUGAUCCAGCCAUGCCGCGUGUGUGAAGAAGGCCCUCGGGUUGUAAAGCACUUUCAGUGAGGAAGAACGCCUGGUGGUUAAUACCCAUCAGGAAAGACAUCACUCACAGAAGAAGCACCGGCUAACUCCGUGCCAGCAGCCGCGGUAAUACGGAGGGUGCGAGCGUUAAUCGGAAGUACUGGGCGUAAAGCGCGCGUAGGUGGCUUGAUAAGCCGGUUGUGAAAGCCCCGGGCUCAACCUGGGAACGGCAUCCGGAACUGUCAAGCUAGAGUGCAGGAGAGGAAGGUAGAAUUCCCGGUGUAGCGGUGAAAUGCGUAGAGAUCGGGAGGAAUACCAGUGGCGAAGGCGGCCUUCUGGACUGACACUGACACUGAGGUGCGAAAGCGUGGGUAGCAAACAGGAUUAGAUACCCGGGUAGUC
rnacentral:rRNA from 1 species